GUGGGGAAUAUUGGACAAUGGGGGGAACCCUGAUCCAGCCAUGCCGCGUGUGUGAAGAAGGCCUUUUGGUUGUAAAGCACUUUAAGUGAGGAGGAGGCUACCGAGAUUAAUACUCUUGGAUAGUGGACGUUACUCGCAGAAUAAGCACCGGCUAACUCUGUGCCAGCAGCCGCGGUAAUACAGAGGGUGCAAGCGUUAAUCGGAUUUACUGGGCGUAAAGCGCGCGUAGGUGGCCAAUUAAGUCAAAUGUGAAAUCCCCGAGCUUAACUUGGGAAUUGCAUUCGAUACUGGUUGGCUAGAGUAUGGGAGAGGAUGGUAGAAUUCCAGGUGUAGCGGUGAAAUGCGUAGAGAUCUGGAGGAAUACCGAUGGCGAAGGCAGCCAUCUGGCCUAAUACUGACACUGAGGUGCGAAAGCAUGGGGAGCAAACAGGAUUAGAUACCCGAGUAGUCC
rnacentral:rRNA from 1 species